rnacentral:rRNA from 1 species
AGUGAACGCUGGCGGCGUCCCUAAUACAUGCAAGUCGAAGGAAGUGGCGCACGGGUGAGCAAUAUACAGCUAAUCUGCCCCUUGCUGGAGGACAACAGUUAGAAAUGACUGCUAAUACUCCAUAGCAAGGGAUGAGACUAUAUCGUAUCAGCCAGUCGGUGGGGUAACGGCCUACCGAGGCUAUGACGCGUAACUGGUCUGAGAGGAUGAUCAGUCACAUGGGAACUGAGACGCGGUCCAAGAUCCUGCGGGAGGCAGCAGUAGGGAAUAUUGCGAAAUGGGAGAAACCCUGACGCAGCAACGCCGCGUGGAGGAUGACACUUUUCGAAGCGUAAACGCCGUUUGUUAGGGAAGCGGUACCUAACUAAUAAGCACCGGCUAACUCCGUGCCAGCCGCCGCGGUAAUUC